rnacentral:rRNA from 1 species
CCUACGGGUGGCAGCAGUGAGGAAUAUUGGUCAAUGGGCGCGAGCCUGAACCAGCCAAGUAGCGUGAAGGAUGACGGCCCUACGGGUUGUAAACUUCUUUUGUAAAGGAAUAAAGUGAGGCACUAGUGCCUGGUUGUGUGUACUUGAUGAAUAAGCAUCGGCUAACUCCGUGCCAGCAGCCGCGGUAAUACGGAGGAUCCGAGCGUUAUCCGGAUUUAUUGGGUUUAAAGGGAGCGUAGGUGGGUUGUUAAGUCAGUGGUGAAAGUUUGGGGCUCAACCGUAAAAUUGCAAUUGAUACUGGCAGUCUUGAGUACAGGUGAGGUAGGCGGAAUUCGUGGUGUAGCGGUGAAAUGCUUAGAUAUCACGAAGAACUCCGAUUGCGAAGGCAGCUUACUAAACUGCCACUGACAUUGAUGCUCGAAAGUGUGGGUAUCAAACAGGAUUAGAUACCCUUGUAGUC